CUAGGAUGAACGCUAGCUACAGGCUUAACACAUGCAAGUCGAGGGGCAUCAUGGAGUUUGCUUGCAAACUCUGAUGGCGACCGGCGCACGGGUGAGUAACGCGUAUCCAACCUUCCCUAUAGUAGAGGAUAGCCCGGCGAAAGUCGGAUUAAUACUCUAUGUUUUCCGUUGCAGACAUCUAAGAUGGAACAAAGGCUUGCCGCUAUAGGAUGGGGAUGCGUCUGAUUAGGUAGUCGGCGGGGUAACGGCCCACCGAGCCAUCGAUCAGUAGGGUUCUGAGAGGAAGGUCCCCCACAUUGGAACUGAGACACGGUCCAAACUCCUACGGGAGGCAGCAGUGAGGAAUAUUGGUCAAUGGGCGAGAGCCUGAACCAGCCAAGUAGCGUGCAGGACGACGGCCCUAUGGGUUGUAAACUGCUUUUAUGCGGGGAUAAAGUUCACUACGUGUAGUGUUUUGUAGGUACCGCAUGAAUAAGGACCGGCUAAUUCCGUGCCAGCCGCAGC
rnacentral:rRNA from 1 species